rnacentral:rRNA from 1 species
AACGAACGCUGGCGGCAGGCUUAACACAUGCAAGUCGAACGAGAUCUUCGGAUCUAGUGGCAGACGGGUGAGGAACACGUGGGAACAUCCCUUUCAGUUCGGAAUAACGUUGGGAAACUAACGCUAAUACCGGAUACGUCCUUCGGGAGAAAGAUUUAUCGCUGAAAGAUUGGCCCGCGCCUGAUUAGCUAGUUGGUGAGGUAACGGCUCACCAAGGCUACGAUCAGUAGCUGAUCUGAGAGGAUGAUCAGCCACAUUGGGACUGAGACACGGCCCAAGCUCCUACGGGAUGCAGCAGUGGGGAAUAUUGGACAAUGGGCGCAAGCCUGAUCCAGCCAUGCCGCGUGAGUGAUGACGGCCGUCGGGUUGUAAAGCUCUUUUGUCCGGGAAGAUAAUGACUGUACCGGAAGAAUAAGCCCCGGCAAACUUCGUGCCAGCAGCCGCGGUAA